CUUCUGACAAGGUAAGAAUGAAUUUUAAAAAAAAAUACAAGUAUAUACUUAUUAAGUUUAGAAAAAUUAUAUAAUUAUAAGUUUAUAAAAUUAUUGUACAAAAUAUGUUCUUCUGAUUCUAUGAUAAAUGAAACUGCUCUAUAGAUGAGAAGGCAAAUUGCUUUUCAUGUAUAAAGAAAGAAGUUCAUAUUAAGAAAAUUAAAUUUCUUAUUGACAAUUUUAAUUUAAGAAUACUGUCCUCUACUGUGAUAAAGAAGGUUAGAAAAAGAUUUUAAGUGUUUUUACUGUGCUUUCAUAAGCUAGCUGCGAAGUCAGAAAGUUUUUCAGUACAUGGAAAAAAAGAAUCCAUUCUAAUACUUGACAAAUAAAAAGAAUAAGAAAAAAUACAUACUUAAGCUUUCUAUUUGAAAGGGAAAGGAUUUUGGUGUUUGCUGGCUUUUCCUUCAAAUUGUAUUAUUUAUGGAAAUAAAAGCUAUGUAGGUAAUUCCUAAACAUUUGUUUCCAAAUGUUUGCUUGUAAAUCACUUUAUUAUUUAGGAAAAUGCUUUCUCACAGUAACAGGAUGAUUACAUAAUGAUUCAGUGCCAGGCCAAGCUGACUGACAUCUCUUCAGCUCUUCAGGCUUGUAAAGAAUUUCAUUAGUAAAAUUGUAGAACUGAAAAACACGGAAAAUAACAUUUUAAAUGAGAAAACUAGAAUUAGCAUUCACAGAAGCGCUGGGUACUCCACUCACGCUUAACCCUGCUUGUCACCCAUGGGAGAAAGGCACACUCCCAUCCAGCUCUAACCUCAACCAUUGCCUAGACAUCCAACAUGCUCCCCACACCCACUGUGGCCUGUGUAAUCCCAGUGUAGACUUUCUGACUCCUAAAUUGAAAGUGUUUACCCUGAGCUAUAUAACCUGCCAUCAGUGUUUAGUACUAUCAGCUCUGAAUCGAUUAGUGAUUAUAAUUUGAUGAUAAUUAAGAUGAUCUACUUUUGACCCCAUCAAAUUUAACCACAUUAAGUGACAUCAUAAAACUUUAAGAUGAUAAAGAAAGAUAGAAAUUACAUUUGAACAAAUUUCCACAGGUUCUUAACUUACCAGUGAGUUACCUGGUCCAGACUCUUUCAACUCACCAUUACUAUAAAAGCAAUUCACAGAUCAAUUUCUGAUCAUGAAACCUGAUUCUAAAAACGAAAAUAAAAACAAAGAAAACCUCUUAGAUGCCUCAAUUCCAGAGAUAUCUGAAGCCUGAAACAGGACCAUAUUUUCCCAGACAUCUUAUUUCUUAUACUCUUCCUGUCUUUCUUCCUUCCCUUCCCGGAGAGGAAGGACAGAAGAACUUAGACCAAAAGGAGGAUUUGAUUCCACUAUUAUAUGUAUUAGGAGGAAGGGACUAGAAAAAAAUUUCCAGUGACCUUUGGAGAUGGACGUGCCUUUGGUCACCAAUUGGAGCAACAAUUCACAUUUAAGGAUGUGUAUGAGGCAGCCCUAUGUAAUUAGGAGAACAUCUACUGCAUCUACUACACAUUUAUGUCCAUUUUGAAUUAUGUGGAGGAUAACCAUUGGUUUAGUAUAAUUAAAAUAUUCAAUGGUUUAGUUGUACAAUUUAAUUGUAGUAAGUUAUUAGUAAAUCUUAAGACAAAAAGCAUAAGUUUGAAAUUGUCAGAAACAUAUGAUGAUAUGCUUAGAAACCCCAAAUCAUUAUGUUUUAUUCAUCUUGAUUUUUCUUUUCAUCUCUGGUUUUACAUCCCUUCCAUAAAUUCUUUCAAUGAAAAGUUAACAAACUGAUAAUUCUUAAGAUAGUUAAAAUUAAAGGACAUACUUUUCUCUUCUUUCUCACCAGCAAUAACUCUUUUCACUGUAUGUUUAGAAAUACAGAAUAAUAUUUUAAAGUUAAGAAUGAACAUAUUACUUAAUAAUAAAAUGUCAGAAUACUGUUGCAAUUCUUCUGUUUUCAACAGAGGGGGACUAGAUCUGAGAUGUUCAAAUCAUUGCCUAUAAUUCUUCCAUUGUGAAGAAUACAAACACUUUAUAACUAUUCAUUUGAUUUCUCAUUUCUAACUUUUUUUUUUUGUACUGGAGAUUGAACGCAGGGGUGCUCAACCAUUGAACUGCAUAGCCAGUCCUUUUUCUUUUUUAUGUCUUAUUUUCUUUUUUAUUUUGAGUCCUUUUUUUGCUAAGUUUCUCAGGCUGGUCUGGAAUUUGUAGUCCUUCUUCCUCAGUCUCCCUAUUCCCUGAGAUUACAGGCACUUGUCACUGGGCCUAGCUGUCAUUGGUAACUUGUAUGAUUCUAGUGAGACUGAACUAUGUCUGUGAUCUUAUAAUUUGCUCUUCUGUUUAAAUAUAACAGAGAGCUUGAAUUGUAUGAUGUUUCCAUUGAAAGAUUUCCACUCAAAAGCACUUUUAUUUGGCUGGCUGAUUACACUCUAAAACACUUUACAAUCUGAAAAGUGAAUCUCUAUUGUUGCAAAAUUGAGAGUCUAGAAUUUCCAAAACUACACGAAUCUCAUUACUGCUCAAUUCAUUGGCCAAACAUAUGGUAGAUAGCUGGUUAACAAAGUCCAGAGGUUCUAAAGACAUUGGCUCUGAAAAUGUAUGCAAGAAUUUAGUUUAUUCAUAACGAAAUGGAUUAAUCUCUUGGAAAAUCCAGUUGCAUUUCUUUAGUUCCAGUGCCCCAUUCUUAUUGUGGUUACAUAAAAUUUAGAGUUAAAUCCAGAGCCUAUAUCUACCCCAAAAUACCAACCAUUAAAAAAUAAAUAAAUUAGCUAAAACAUUCCUCUGUCCAAUAUUGAAAACAGAUUUUUUUUCAUGAGUUGUCCAUUUUACAGCACAAGGUGAGAAGAAACAAAUUAUACAGAUGUCUAACUUCAGUAGCUACUACCUGAGUCUGAGUAGAAGUUCUAUAGGAGCCUAGUUACCCAAAAGUUUAAGCUGGAAUAUGGCACAUACUCUUCCAAUAAACAAAUAGUGGAUUAGCAAUUCUCAGAAGCUCAGAAGUAUUAUUUUACUUACUGUUCAUGAGUGUUUAAAUGCUUUACCUCUCAAAAUUUUAAAUAUCGAAGAACAUCUGAAUAUCUUAGAGGCAUUGAGGGCUUUCUAUAAUAAAGUUAUCAAUAAAAAAUUUCUUUUGUUCUCUUCGUUAUUGCUGAUGGGAACCACUGUUUCAUCCACAUACCAAGGAUCAGUGUGAAACAGCAUCCAGACUGAUCAUAUCCACACAGGAAAAACUUGAAUGGUCAUCCCACGAGGUUGAAAGGAGACUAGGUCAAAAGUGAGCUUUGUCUGGGCUAAGUGGUGCAUGCCUAUAAUCCAAGUGGCUCAGGAGGCUGAGGCAGAUUUCAAGUUCAAAGCCACCCUCAGCAACUUAGCAAAACCCUGUCUCAAAUAAAACAUAAAAAGGGCUGGGGAUGCGGUUAAGCACCCCUAGGUUCAAUCCCUAAUACCAAAAAAACAAAAACAGUGAGCUCUUUUGUUCAUUCUGGAAGAAGUUCUGAUCUAAAUUCUGGGUUACUAUAAGAUUAAUGCAAAACAAAAACAAACAAACGAACCAAAAAAUCCACUUGAGAUAGCCAAAAAAUUAACUGAGGCUUUAGGAAGGAUUCAGGAUUAAACCACAUAUGCCACACUAUUUUUUACCAGACUUCAAGAAUAGAGAACAGCAUCUGGUAGCAAACUUAACUCCCUUCUAAGACCAAAGGCAGUCCUAACCAAAUAUGGUCUCCCUGGGUUCAAAGAAUAGAGUACAAUUAGCCCUGCCAUUGAUACAGUCAGAACAAUAUUUAGUAGUUGAAAAAAAACCACUUUACUCACCAUGGAGUUCAUUAUUUUGGAGUCCAUCUACCAUUGUAAACUGCUUUUACAUACUAGGAAGAGGAAGCAGUAGAAAUGGCCAUGGGUGAUGCAUCCCUUCCUCUCUCCAUGACAUGGGUGGAAGCCAAAGUCUGGUUUAUUACAGUACAGAAACAUUGCUAUUAGGGUGGCAAGAUAUGACUGAGAGAUGAAAGAGUUUGUGCUGGCAAACUUUGAUUUGACUUUUGAUUUGAUUCAACAAAUCUGAUAACAAAGCAAUAAAAAUAAUAGCCUUUUAUUACCUAUAAUGUGCUGGACACUGUAUUAGGCUCCUUAUAUGCAUAAACUUAUGUAAUCUUCAUAACAACUUCUGUUAGUUGAGUAGUAGUAUUAUUCUGUAUUUUACUCAGUUCCCAGAGGGGUUAAUUAACUUGUCCAAGGUCAUUUAGCUGCUCUGCGGCAGACAAGAUUUGAAACCAAAUUGAUCUGACUCCAAAUCCUUUUCUCUUAAUAAGCACUAUAAAACAUGCCUCUAUCUGCAAAUGCCACUUAGCAGAGGAGCCACACGACAAAUUUAUACCCUGUAGAGUUGAAACUAAUAUGAUAUUCUAAUAUUGAAAGUAUUACAGAGCCCUCUAAUUAGUCAUAGUCUACAUAUUUGCUUCAACAAGUCCUUGGAAGUCAGCAUGUAUUCUCUAUUGAACCUAGAUAAUUAGGAGCAUACUGUACAGGGUGGAUUGCUAAGCAAUUAUAUAACUUGUAGACUAAGGUAUCCUUGCAGUGGUGAUUCUGCCAGUAGAGAAAGCUGCAAUAUUCUUUAUAUUUAAACAUUCAUAACAUAAUAAUUCAUGGCUAUAAAAUUCAAGGGAUUUACCAGUAUAAUUUCCACAGGAUGUUAUUAGAAAGAAGAAACUAGAUUAAUAGUUGACUGGUACCAUGCUUUUGGUAGUAUUUCAUAAAGUAACCCAGGCCUCUAUGAAUGGAAGGACUUGUAAUGAUGUAUCAAGACUCAUUGUUCAGGGACUAAUAUCCUUCCUUGCUCCAUUUGAGCAAAGAAGGAGUAAGUACCUGAAUUUUAAAGUCAUUAAAGAAGAUUCACAGCCCCUUUUCCUUAUGUACUAUAACAGUAUUUCACUAAAUACCCCCAUAAAUAAUUAUCUAGACAUAGGAUCACAGUGAACAUUGUAUUAUGAGUCUGGCCUGCCCUUAAAGGACUGGAAAACAGGACAUAAACAUGCCAGAGCUUUGGAGCAAAAGAAUUACUUCUUCUCCUCAGCCUAUCAUAAACACCUAAGCUCAGGAGGUUCCAGAGAACUCACCCAUGUUUCUACCAGCUUGGGCAAUCUGAAUGUAGUCAUAGAGGUGAUAGGAGAAAUAAAUUCAUGUUCUUAAAAUGCUUUAAUUUGAUACAGGCAAAAUUUUAAUCCAUAGGAAGAAUACUGGAAGCAUGAAAAUAUAAAAUGUAAUGACCAAUAGAUUCCAAAUAAAUGGUCUAGAAUUUUAUAAUUCUUAUAACUUAAUUACAUCAAUUUUAAAUUAUCACCUCCAGAUCUCCAAGCAUCUGCAUCAAGAUUUUAACUUCUUUAACUCCACCCUUGUGGGGGGAAAAUGAACUUUCCUUUGGUAUGGAUAUGAGUAUUGCAUCAAAUAGAAUUUUUUAUAUGAUUAAUAUUAAGAAGAGAAGAAUAAUCUGACAUGCAGAAUAAAAGCAUUUAUUUGAAACCUUUACUCAAAGAUCUCAAUACUCAGAGGUAUAUAUGGCAUUGGCAAGUUCAGAAAUGUACAUGAAUAGCUUUCCAGUUUUGCUCAGCCUCAUGACAUUGAGUGAUUCAUAAACAAAGGGCUACAAAAGCCCUUGACUUAGGAAAAAGGUACAUGCUAUAUGUCUAUCCGUCAGGUUUCCUUCACAGACAUUAAAAAACAAAGAAAGCAACACAUUUGUCCAGAACUCUUCAUUGCCUGUGAUUUUAUUUACCAAAUAGAUAUUAAACUAUAAAAAGCACAUUUCCUUCGUUUUAUACAACUGGUAGGCAAAUAUGAUUUGUUUUCUAUAUUUCUAAAUUUGUGUUAUAAGUAAUAUAAUUUAUAAAUUUUCCAUCCUUAUUUCUGCUUUGAGUUAUUAUGCAAUGCAAUGUAAUUUGUAAAACCUUUGAAUUAUGUGAAAAUAACACUUAGGAAUAAGAGCAUAUUGUUGAUAGACUAUAUUUUGGACUAAGUUUGAGAAGCAGUUGAAAUAGAUCUGAUGUAAUAAAUAAACCUGGACUUAUUAAGAGUCAAUUUUAAGUAUAAAUUAUGUUCUGGUACAACAGAUUACUUCAGCUGCCUCUUAGUCAUACUGCAGUUUGAGGUUUAGAGUGCCACUUGGUUAUUUAAGGACAUUAUAAGUGAGAUAGCAAGGCUUUUUAAAUAAAAAUAUUGGAAGAAAGAUCCUAAAUCUAAUCAUAAAUGUAGUCUUUAUGAUGUUCUACUAGUAUAAAUGUAGUCUAUAAUCUUCUAUUAAUAGAUUCCCUCAGCCAUAACAAUUAUAGACUUUUUUGAAAAGCACGGUAGACCAGCUGCAAUGGUACACACCUAUAAUCCCAGAAGCUCAGGAGGCUGAGGCAGGAAGAUCACAAGCUCAAAGCCAGCCUCAGCAAUUUAGCAAGGUCCUAAGUAACUUAGCCAAACCUUGUCUCCUAAUCAAAAUAAAAAUGGCUUUGGAUGUGGCUCAGUGGUUAAUCUCCCCUGGGUUCAAUCCCAAGUACCAAAAAAAUUUUAAAAAAUAAAGGCAUAGUAAAAUGCUUUAGCCAAUUUGAAAAUGUCAGUGACUAGAUAUUAUAAUAUAAAAAAGACAUGGAUUUCAGCUUUAAAAAUCAAAUAAUCAAAUAUCUUUCUACAUAGACAUAGCUCUUUAGGAAAAUAUCACCAAAGCAUACAUGUGAAAAAAUAAGGUAAUUAAAAAGUACCCAUUUAAAUAAGAACUUUGGUUGUGACUUUUAAAUUCAACAAUACACUUAGAAAAUCAUAAAAAUUGAGAAUUUCAUCACUGUGUGAUAUAGCCUAACAACCAGUAAAAUAUCUCUUUUUGUUUUCAAUAAAAUUAAAGCCCAAAUCACACAGUUAGCUAUAGUAGUUGCUAGAGUUAUGUAUUAUUUAUGUUCUGUCUGCUGCUUCACAUUAGCUAUUUAGCAUGGAACCUGAUAAGCAAAGGCAAAAAUGGAACAGGAAAGGAUUUAGAGACUUUAUUUUUAAAUUUGUUUCUAUUCUUUGGAAAAUGUCAAGCAUUUCCAAUCAAAAUAUGAAAGCUCUUAACGUUAGUGCAAAAAUAAUAUGUAAUUACUGAAAAGAAUUGACAAGUCCACCAAUGGAAAUUAAUUACUGAGAGUCAAUUAGGUUAUUGAAACGUGUGUGUGAAAUCUUUCACAUUCCUUUUACAAAGUUACUACACGUUUAAAAGUGGUAUUCCAAGAACUUUUGUCUACUUUCUUAUUUGAAUAGGUUAGAACCAACUAGAAUUCCUGGAAAUAUUAUAAAGCCAAAAUUGCUAGAAAUAAAAGCAAAUAAAUAAAAAGCAGUAUAUGUCAGGUCUCUGUCUAUAGUAUCAUCAUUUAACAUGUUUUUUUCAAAAAACAUUUAGACACAUAUAUAUGUAUAUAUAUAAGCAAAGCAAAUUAUAUAUAUAAUAUCAUACAAUUUUCUGAAAAUCUACCCCCAUAAUUGUUCUAGGCUGGAAGUGGAGGGCAUUUCAUCUCCUGAUCCCAGCUUCCAAAUAAUCACUAACAAGCAAAAUAAACAAACAAGAAGAUAUUAAUGGAACUUCAAUCGUGAUAGUUUGUAUUUAUCUUAAGUCACUUUUCCUAGAUGAUGAGCCUGACAUGGGGAUUAUGUGCAAGUUUUUUUUUUUUAAUUGAAGAAUUAUUUUCAGAUGAAAGCUAUAAGAGCAGGGUUAGAGACUAAGCAAAUACAUAUAUUAAAGGAAGCCUGAUUCCACAUCAAUGGCACCCACAGGGUUGUCUUACCCUAAGAGGAGAAAUCGUCUUUAAUACUCUAGUAUCAGCCAGUCCUUGACUGUAGGCCUCCCCAAAGAGGAGGCAGUAACUUGCCAAGUAUUUCCCAGGAAAGGAGGCUGCAGGCUGAGGGGAUUUCAAGGAAAAUGUCCAAUCCUGAGCAGCACCUGCAGCUUGUGGACACAGGUCUGAUACAGGAAAUCUGGCAGAUCACCAAGAGUGUCCAUUACUGCAUUAUGAAAAUGGGUUUCUUUCAUGUUUCAAACUAAAAGUGUUUUAGUACCAGAGAUUCUGAUGUACUCCCAUCCAUAAGCAUUACUGUUCCAAAGUGCAGUGCUUUCAACCAUGGCAUCAGAAGAAUUUCCAGCAGCUGAAACUUGAGUACAGAUUCUGAAAUUGGCUAUGUCAGAUUUUUUGCAGUGAGACUCAUUUAAAUAUGUUUUAAAACCCUAUGAUUAUUCUAAUUCAAUGUUUUCCUUAGGAAAAAAAAAACUGCAUUCUACAAAUAAAGCACUAGUUCAUUUAAGAGUAAGUAAUUAUAAUUGAAUCAAAUCUGUAUUUCUUUGUAGCUAAAGAAAGUGAUUUGUAAAACUAGGUAUUGAUCAAAAAGAUCAAGGAAAUUUGGAGUGAAUGUCUUAAGAUGUAAAAAUAGACAGAGUCAGACAACAAGAGACAGAUAUUAAGGAAAGGGAAUCUAUGACAAAUAAAAAAAGAAACCCAGGUAACUACGCAUCACUUUUAUUGUGCCAUUUUUCCUCUUUGGGUGUGUGAAGAAAUUGUGAGAACUCAAUGAAUUUAUUCUUAUAUCCUAUAAAUUCAAAAUUACACUGUCCCUAAAGAUCCUUUGGAUGAGUUGGGGAAAGCCACAAACAGAUGAGAAUAGAUAUCCAGGAAAGGCUGACAAUGAGUUAGCCUAAAGUCCCAGAACUAUGCUAGAAAGUUAGAUUAAUAGGUCACAAUUUAGAGUGAGUUAUUUUUAAAUUUCAUAUACAUAUAAAAAUUUUAUAUUUAUGUAUAUAAUAAGAUAAAUUCAAAAUUAAAUAAAGCAGUUAUAAUGAUUUAGGAUUACUACAUAAGGUAUCAAACUAUAUAUGUGCAUAUAUUUAGUUGCCUAUUAUAUUUACAAUGUAACUAAUAUAGUUAUACAUAGUCUUUUUUAAAUUUAUCUAUUUAUUCUAAUUUGUUAUACAUUACAUCAGAAUGCAUUUCAAUUCAUAGUGCACAUACAGAGCACAAUUUUUCAUGUCUCUGGUUGUGAACAAAGUAGAGUCUCACUAUUCGUGAACUAGUUCUAUUUUCUUAAGCAUAAUAGACUAUAAAUUGCUUCCUAUAUUUGAAACCUUGUUGAUUAAACCUCAUCAUCCUGCACAAAUCAUAUUCCCAUAAUAAGAGAUUAUAUUUUAACACCCAGGGACAUUCUUUAGUAGGAAAUAAGCAACCUUUUUUUAGUACUGAACUAAACAUCAAAGUGAUUAAAGAAAAUUCAUAUCCUACUUUUUGUUUAUUUGCCUCUUUGUUUACUGAAGUGUCUGUUUAUGUAUAGGGGGAAAUCAUAUGUUCCCUCUGUUCCCUACUUCAAGAAUGUUUCCACCUUGACUUAGAAUGACUAAUUUAGAGGAAUACCUAGACUUGGGAAAUUUUACUUGUUCCUUUAUGUAAGAAAGACUGAUAUGUUUGGUUUUGUACGAAUUGCACAACCAGCAGGGGUGGAUUCAGUUCCCUGAAGGUGUCCACCUCUGAACCAUAAAAAGUAGUCAAAGAACAAAGAGUGAAUCAAGAACUAAUCGUACUUAAGAUCCUUCUGCUGGUCCUUCCUUCUGGUGUGAGCUGCUUCCCUUUCGUUCAUCAUCAUAGGCAGCCUCAAGUCUUUUACCCUGCACAACACAAUUAUUCUCCAUAAAUAUAUUCUCAGUCCCAGAUGCAUAAACUACAAUAACCUUUUUUAUUUAACCUAUACAUUUCAAAAAUUUAUACAAGUAACAAGUGAAAAUAUUGUACUAUAACAUUUCAAAUAAUAUAGAAAUAUAAAGACUAAAAGUGGAAAAUGAACUUACUUUUUCACUCUACUCCACACUGCCAAUGUAUAGCCACUUUCAGUCAACAUGUCAGGAAUUCAUGGCUCUACUGUCUUCUGGUCAUUUGCUCCAGACGUUUUGGCCUUCUGAUUUCACUGCCACAUCUAAGAAAUACCUCUAGCACGCACAGUCUGACUAUACAACAAAGUGUUAGUUAUUAAGAAAAACAUUAUUAAACCUUUAAGAAUCAUAGUUUGAUUGAAUAUAGCUUACAACAAGACACUCUCUCACUUCAAAAACCUUAUUUGAGCUUACGUGACAAAAAAAAAGUUUGACUGAAUUCAUCAAUUUGCAAUUAAUGAUUUUGAAAUACAAAGACAGUGUCAAAAAAAUUACACAAUUGAAAGGACUUUGAGGGAGCCUGCAGGGAUGAUAAUCAGAAACCUGAAUACCAAUACUAUUUUAGGAAUAGCUACGAAGGAGAAUACAGAACCACCUAGAGUAACCUCCUCCUGUUUUUAAUAGUUUCUACUAUUUUAUGCUUUUUGCAAUGCUGAGAAAGAAAGCCAUUAGGGGAUCUGGAAGAAUGGGUAAACUGUAUGAAGCUCAGCAAUCCAAAUAUCUACCACCAGUUGGGGUCUCAUAUUUAAAAACAAGCUUUAAAAGACUUAUAAAAUAAAUGAAAAAAAAGUCUUUUCUUUUUCUUUAUAAAUUCAGAAAUCUGGAAUGAUAAUAAGUGGGGGAAUAUGAUCAUUGACUUUUAAAAGAAAAUAUGACAAGUAAAAGAAAAUUAUUUUUAAGCUCAAAAUUUUCAUCAAGAAAUAAGCAGGAUGAAAAUGUCCUUUGAAUCAUAAUAGAUAGACAUCCAGAGAUGUUUAAUUGCUAGAGAAUCAUGAGAAUACUGGAGCAAUUAAUGAAAUGUAAAAUAUAAUUAUAAAAUAACCAAAACCAAACACAAUUUUAGUUCUUACAUUCCAGUUUCCAGAAGAGAACUGUCCAUAAUGACCAGUAUCAAACUAUAAAAAAAUAUUAUAAUGAUCGAUCUAUCAUUUCUAAAAGGAAUCUCAUAGAAAAGGCAAUGAGUUGCUUAUGUUUUAGAUACUUUAAAUAAGUCAAAAGAACUAUAUUUUAUGUACAUAUAAAAUACUAAACAAAUUUUAGAAUGAUCUAAAAAAUCAAACAAUAUGUGUUUCUUCUGCUAGGAUAUUAUGUUUUAUCAUAUUGCCACUAAAAUAUUUGUAAUCUCAUAGUCAAUUUCUCUGGGUUUCACUAGUCUCCUGAUUGCUCCAAUGCAUUAUUAAUAAUUUUUAACAAGUACAAGCAAGUGGUUUCUAUUUUAUUGUUUACUCUAUUAAAAAGUAGUGAAAUUGAUUUUGAAAUUCCUUUAAACAUCUGUACAAGAUUUUUGCAAAACCUCUACAUGGCUUUAAUCAGUUAUAGAGUUUUAAUUUACAUCUAACUCUAAUUUCCUAGGUUUCUAAAGCAAUUCUCCUUUUUGUCCUUCUCAUGGGUUUUCCAUUUCAUUGUUUUGUGAGCUAAAGCUCAGUCAUUCCUCGAAGCACCAUGUUCAGCUGUUAGUGACUCUCUUUCUUUCUCUUUUCUUCCUUUCCUAACUUUCCCCAAUGACCAUGGGAUAAAUCUCAUCUCUUGUUGCAUAGAAAUUUCUCAGUUACUAAGGUAGCAAAUUGUUCAAAGCCUAAAAUGUACACAUAGCAAUUAACUUUAAAAUAUUUCAUCAUCAUACUUCUGAUUCAUAAAGAAAAACACUAUUGAUAAUACCUUGUCUUUGAUAAUAUUGAUAAUACCUUGUCAUCUUCGAAUAAUUAUAGAGACUAAGUAAACACAGUCUAUUAUGUAUGUUUAAUGUUGCUUCUUCAAGACACAAUAGAGCUACAUAUUAAUGUUGCCCACUUAAGGAAAAGAAAACUAAUAUUUGCUACUAUGGGAGAAAAACAGUAGCCCCUUAAAAGCUGUUAAAUCUAUGGCUCUGUUUGCUAUUUUCAUGAGUUAGUUUUUCCUCUAGAAACUCUCGUUGAACUUUCCAUAAUUACAAGACAUCAUGAAAUUCUAUAUUCUAAUAUAUUUAAUGUGUUCUGAAUUAUAAUUGUAAUAGUGUAUAAUUUUUACUUGAGGUAUGGCCUUCCUAGAAGCCAAUUUCUUAGCAUCAGCUAGAGCUAAGAUUUUUUUUUUCUAGAAUUUUAAAGAAAAUCAUAUUUCACAAAUUGAAGUUGCAGUUCCCUUAAGACAAGUUCUAUUUUGGAGUCUACACUUACAAGAGCUGAGACUGUCAUAGUCACUCACCUUCAUCAUUAAAAAAAAAAAAAACACACACACACAAAAAGCUCUUUUCUCCUCUAAAGUUAGAAUGUUAAGUACCGGUCUUGUAGUCUAACUUUCUGAAUCCUUGGUUUAUGUCUGGAGGUGUAGAAGGUAGGUAACUAGUAAGAAAAGGUCAGAUCUGAACACUGUGAGAAAUCUCCUAAAUUCAUCCUUUCUCAAAAGUACUUGUGAAAAGCAAAACUUUCUAUACAGCCAUGAGGGGUACUUUUGGAAGACUCAUCUAUGACAUACGUAAAGACUGGUUUUUAAGUGGGGCAGAAUAUGAGAUGGCAACAGGUCAUGCCCAUAUGGAGCAUCAAGGUCUGUGUCUCACACACAUCCAGAUGUUGAUGUCUGAGGAAAGCAAAGAUGUCUCUUCUUUUGAAAGGACUUUAAAGCAUCUAUGAUGUUGCUCUGUCAUGAGAUAAUCUCCAGAGGUGGUACUUAGGGAAGCUACUGGGCUGAAGCCAUUAAGAAACCUGAAAGUUAUUAAUGAGAGGAGAGAAAAACACUCAGAGAUUAGCCAUAAACUACGAACUAGGGUACAUACUAGCACCCGCUACUAUAAGGAGCUGAUGCUUCUCUGUUGGAGUUAAUGAUUAUUAAGAACUACUAGCAAAUCCUGCAGAUAGGACCCAUAGACACUGCUGAGUGAAUGAUAAUUGGAACCAUUAUCCCUGUGAGCCACCACAAGAAAUACUACAAAUGAGGAGAGAGAGGCUUUCCAGCCCUCUUCCUGUCUCUUUCCAAAAUAAGAGAUGUUAAUCCCCUUACCUACUGGGAACUCUAGGGAAAUAUGACAAAUGACAAGUGUUGGUCUUUCAAUAUAUUCCAGAAGUGUAAUUUUCUGGUUGCAUAAAAGACCUGGGAUUAUAGUUCAGCUUUCAUACUUUUAAUAAUUAUAGUAACAUUUGAACCCUAUACUGAAUAUCAUCUACUGUUCUAAGUAGACUGCAUGUAUUCACUCACUUAAUGCAACUAUUAUGUACCAUUAUUUUAUCCGUUUUACUAAUGAAAAGUUAUGUAUACAAACUUUAACUUGCUCAAGCUCAUCUAUUUGUAAAUGUUAAACUCAGUUAACUCUGGAGCUUAACUACUAAUUACUUGCACAAUAUAGUAGACAGAAAAAAAAAUGAACCUGUGUGUAUGUUAUAUUACAUAGAAGGAGUGAUAUGAGGAGACUAUCCUGGAUUAUCCAGAUGCCUCCAGUAUAAUCACAUGGGUCCUUAAAAGGAGACUCUUUUCCAGAUGCAGUUGGAAAGAGAUGUGACAACGGAAAAAUGGUCAGAGAGAUACACAAUUGCUGCCUUAGAAAAUAGAAGAAGGGGACUAUGAGCCAAGGAAUGUGAACAUUCCCAGAAGAUAGGGAAGGCUGGGAAAUGGAUUUUUACCCUGGAGAUUUCAGAAAAGAAGGCAGCCUUGCCAACAUCUUUGUUGAGACCCAAAAGAACUCUAAAAUGAUAAAUUUUUGAUGUUUUAAGCCACUAAGUUCAUGAUAAUUUGUUCCAGCAGCACUAGAAAACUAAUACUUAUUGCCUCAUUGAAAAAAUAUACUUACUGAGGUUUUACUUUUACUGAGGUUUUUCUCUGCCUUGGGCAAGAUGAUUUUACUAUAAUUUUAGAUAAUAGAUUAUUUCAGUAGUUUUGAAUAUAUUACUUGAUAGUUUGACCUACAUUUAGCACUCUACCAAAGUUUACAAGAAGCUGAACAUAUUCUAGAUGUUGCUAACAGAAAGUUGAUACGAUGCAACUCUUUGGAUCUUUGAUGCAUAUAAGAUGCUUCCUAUUGUUUAGAAAAUUAGGAGACUGAUUUUCACCAAACAGUAGAAAGUUAUUGUUCUAAUUUUCAGAAUACAGAGUCUGAUGAGUCCCCACAAAAUUCUGUCACUGAUGCCAAAGUUUUCUUUGAAGUCUCAGAAUGAAAUGAGUUGUUGAAAGGGUGACACAUUACCACAAUGAGCUUUUUCAAAGCAAUGUCAAAGUUUUCAUAUUUCUCAUCAAUAUUCAUCAUACCAGAGACUGCAAAAUGGGCCCAGAUUAAUUGGUCUCUUUCAUUUAUAUACCUGAAUACAAUGAAACAUUAGUGCACUGGCCUUUGGAUGCAGUCUUUUGGGAAACAUUCCACCUCCACAAUAAGGAACGCCACAGACCAUUAUCAAAUGUAGCACUCAGUGCUGUUUCCUCUAACACGGCAAUAUGCUGGCAGAAAGGAUAUAUAUAGAGAAAAAGCUAUACCAAUGGGCAGAAGCAGUUUCCUAGUUGAUGAAAUUUAUUGAUCGAAAAGAAAUAAUAAAGCUUUAGAAAAAAGUACAGGCUUUUGGAAGACUCAGGCUAUCAUAAAAAUAAACUUCAAGGCCAGUCAUCAGAACAGCAGUUGAAUAUCACAAAACCAUGUGAUGGGUGAAAUUAAACCUGCUGCAGACACCACAUUCGUAACCUCUAAGCAUUCAGCUUGUAGAGUGUUGUUAGUUGCUCUCAGCAUUGCAAAUGUGAUGGCCAUAAUUCAGCUCCUAUGGUCAGGAUUCAUACAAACCUUAUUAAACUGUUCCUGUGCACUGAGCUGAAGAAAAGCCAUCAGAAUUAAUCAAGUAGCAGAGACUUUGACUGCAAGCAUCAAAUAAGGUCAAAACAGCAUCACUCCAAGUACCAAGAGAUGUGGUGUCUCAUUUUUGGCAAUAGUAUCAUUCUGCUUAUGGUACAGAGACCCCAACAGUAAAAAAUGGAAUCUCUGGGGAACUGAUUAUAUCUACAGUCUCCUGGAUUAAUGGAGUGUGGCAGCUGUGUGCCCAAUGUGGCAAAAGACCCAGUAGGGUUUUAUUUGUUGUCACAACCAGUGCCAUGCAGUGGUGGCUUAAUCAUUGUUCUUUAUUAGCUAUCCUUUUUCAAACAACUGGUUUUCUCUUUUCUUCUAAAUUGACCAUUUUACAACUAAAUUGGCCAAAGAUCACUCUUAAUAAUGCCACCAUUAACCUAAAAUUUCAUCUGUUUUUACGGUGUCCUUAACAUACUAUAAGUAAUACAUAAUCAUUGUAGAAACAUAAGAAAACACUGAUUGAAAAAAUAAAAUUGAUGUCCUAUUACCAGUAUAAUCACUGUUAAUGCUUAGGAAUUAUCUUUCCAGAUAUUUUCCUACACAAAUAUUAACAGAUUUCAUAUUAACAGAUUUCAGCAAAAAUGGUGUCAUAGCACACAGCCUUUUAUAAGCUACCUGUUCACCAAGCAUUCACCUAUUUCUCUGUCAGCCUUGUGGACUUCAUUCUGUUUUACAGAUUUACCAUAAUUGCUUUAAUCAAUUCCCUGUUUUUAGACAUUUAGCUAUAGUUUAUAAUUUUGUUAUUACAAUGAUACUAUAGUGAACAUAUUAGUACAGGUAUGUUGCAUAUUUUUUCAGUUAUUUUCUUAAGAUGAGUUCUAGAAAUCUAAUUACUUGAUUAAAAUUUAUGAAUUUUUUAGUGAUUUGGGUGCCUGUAAUUUCCUCCUUAAAGAAGAAGGAAAAUUUUAAAUUAGAAAGCAAAAAAUCAUUCAAAGACUUUAAGCUAAUUAGUUUUUAAAGAUCUGAAAUGCUAUAUUAAAACAUGAGUAAUAGUGGUUUAAUUUGGGUUUGUUAAAUCAUUUACACACACACGUGAAUGCAUACAUAACAUGCAAACACACAUGCAUACACACAGUUUUGUGUUUCAGUGAGGUCAUUAAAUUUAUAAACCAGCAAAUGACAUGAUUUUCUAAAUAAAAGGCAACGAUGUAGAAAUUUUAUCUUCUGUUUUUGUUAAUAACUCUUAGGAAUUUUUAAAAAUUAAUAAUAAUUGGAUUGAGAUCUUAUUCACAUACCAUAAAAUUCACCCUUUUAAAGUAUGUGGUUAAGUAGUUUUGUAUAUUUGAAGAGUUGUACAACCUUCACCACUAAUUUCAGAUUAUUUUUAUGACCUUCAAAAAGAAACUCUGGGUUGGGGUUUAGUUUAGUUGUAGAACAUUUGCCUAGCCUGCAUGAGUAGGACCUGGGUAGGAUCCCCAACACUGCAAAGGAAGGAAAAAAGAAAACUCUAUGUAUUAACAAUUGCUCCCCACCAACUGCUCCCCAGCCCCGGGCAAACACUAAUCUACUUUGUUUCUAUGCAUUUGCCUAUUAUUUUUGUUGUUCUUCUUCUUCAUUUUAAGCUACAUAUGACAGUAGAGUGCAUUUUGAUACACUAUACAUACAUGAAGUGUAACUUACUCUAAUUAGGAUUAUAUUCUUGUGGUUGUACAUAUUGUGGAGUUUCUGGUGAUGUAUUCAUAUAUGAACAUAGGAAUGCCCAAUUCAUUCUACUGUCUUUCAUUAGCCUAUUCUUGCCAUUUUAUUUAGCAUAAUUUUUUUUGCAUGGAUUAGUACUUCAUUCCAUUUUAUCACCAAACAAUAUCCCCGUGUAUGGAUAUACCACUUUAUGUAUUUAUCAGUUUAUUCUUUGAUUGUCAGUUAAAAUCUUGUCAUCAUCAUGCUUAUAACCCUUUGGUAACUCCUGUAACUGAUAAAAAUGACUAUGUAAGGUCAUUUUGAUCUGGUCCUGACCUAUCUUUGGGCCUGAUUUUCUGCCACAUUUCUAACCCCAUCCACCCCACUCCUCCACCAUGAAUCUAGGCAUCACUACUCACUUCUGUGUGUGCUAUGGCCUCUAUCUGCCAUAUCCUUCCCAUCUUCAUCUGUGUGGCUGCCUUCUACUUCUCCUUCAUGAUCUAGCUGUCAGAUAUCUAUCUCCUUUUCUGGGAAGCCCCUACACACCAUGUACAAGCUGGGUACAACAUCUCUUAUACCUCCAUCCUAACAGUUGUCACACUAUUUAGUAAUUGUUUGUUUUCUUGACUUCUCUUCCACUAGAUUGUGAGCGCAUUGAAACACAGAAAUUAUAUUCUAUAUAUCUCCGUAUCAUUAGCAAUCAAAGCUCAUAAGUGUUUGCUUUAUGUCCAUGAUAAAUAAAAUUAACUUGACUUUUUAUAAACUGAUCAAUUUGAGGAUUUUAUAACUAUGUAGACAAAAAAUGUAUUUAGAAUGUAUGUUGGAUUCUUUUAUGCUUAAUUCUUGUGUAUAUUCUAUGUGAAAAUUCUCAGUAAAACACACAGUAAUUAACUCAUUAAAAUAAACCAAUAUGUAUCUACAGUUCUAGUAGGGCCUUUAAAGUAAAUGUUGAAUUUAAAACCUAUCAAGUGGGUAACAUUUUUAAUAUAGAAUGACUUAACACAGAUUCAGAAUUUAUUUAAAAACUGUUCAAUACCAUUUCAAAUGAUUUAAGAAAGAAUUUUUAUGAAUAUAUCAUGAGAUAAAUUUAUAUAUUAUAAUUGUACUUUGAAAACAAGAUGAGUUUUUUCUGGUUUUGUUUUUGCAAGUUGACAUGUCACUUUUCUUAAAAUUGGUUUGAAGAGUUACUUAAAGUAAUAUAAUAAUCUUUAAAGCUUGCAUGUGUAAACUGUUUUUUAAAUCUGUUUUAUCUGUUUUCUAUGAAAAUGUGUUUCAAUGGGCCUAGUUGGUAAUGGAAUCCUAACCUAUGUUACUUCUGACUUAUAGGGUAUCUUUGUUACUAGGGUUCAGCCUGAUGGGCCAGCCUCCAACCUUCUACAGCCUGGUGAUAAGAUUCUUCAGGUAAGACAGAUAAAAGCAAUGCAUGCAAAUGCUGACACUGAAACAAACAUGAACCAUGUUAUUAAGUUAAAUGACUUGAAUUAAAUGAUUGAAAAUAAAUCCUCACUUUUUUAAAUUUUCCUUUAUUAUUUUGAAUUUGAGAAACAAGUCAAAAACAAUUUGAUCUGAUAGAAUCCUAUGUCCCUAGCAUCUAACAUAUUACCUGGCACAUAGUAGUGUUUUUUCCUAUUUUAAUUGAGUUGAAUGGAAUUACAUGAUAAUAUAAGAAGAAUUUAUAUGUGUGUGCAUGCAGGUACACACAUAUGAACCUAUGCAUAGUUAUUAAGUAUAAGUGAGAGUGAUUGAGUGCCCAUUUAGGGUAUCCAUGUGACUUUAGAUAAGGGAGAAAGGCAGGUCCAUAUUUAAUUUCUCAACAGGAUGCUUAUUACUCGUUGAAUACUGUGGAACACAUGAUUGUGUUUGUCUAUUCCCCUGCACAGAUGAACAUGAGAUUAGCUAGAGAUAAGGUGACUUUUUAAAAUAUACUGUCCAAUGGAAGGACUUUGUUUAACUUAAAUUGCUGCAUUUUAGUUAAGGGUCACUCCAGUAAUCAGUUAAUAAAUGCUCAACAUAACACUAUCCAUUUUGCUUUCAUUGUCCUCCUCUCUGAAUUCAUAUACCAUGUAAGAGGUGCUUAAUCAUUUCCUAUGUUAAAGGGAAAGGCUGUUAAGUAUUGUCAGUGUAUUUAUGAUUCGUAUUUUGAGUCCCAAAAUUUCCCACUAUAUAAACGGAUGCAACUACCUGAAAUUGCUGUUUAGCAAUUUUUUAAAAAUUGAAAUGAUUCAACAUAAUAUAUUAGAAGGUUUAGAUAAACUGAGAAGACAGGCCAUGUAGGAAAGGAAUUUUCAUCAGUUCAAAACAACUCUAAAGAGAUUUUCUUUCUCCUAUUUAAGAAAAUCUUAGAAAAGUAGAAAUCAUAUGUAGCCCAAUACAUAUAUAACAAGAUUUCUUUAAAAUUUUAUCCUCAAAAAUAUUUUUUCAUUUAUUUAUUUAAAUAAUUUAAAUAUUUAUUUAAAUAUUUAAACACAGUAAAAUGUGUUUUGACAUAUUAUACAUACAUUAAGUAUAAUUUAUUCUCAUUUGGAUCCCAUUCUUUUGGUUGUACAUGAUAUGAAGUUUCACUGGUCAUGUAUGAACAUAGGAAAGUUACAUCGGAUUCAUUCUGCUGUCUUUCAUAUUCCCAUCCCUCCUCCCUUCCCUUCAUUCCUCUUUGUCUAAUCCAAUAAACUUCUAUUCUCCCCACACACAACCCUGACUUAAUGUGUAUUAGCAUCCACAUAUCAGAGACAACAUCGGUCUUUAGUUUUUUGGGACUGCUUAUUUCACUUAGCGUGAUAGUCUCUAGUUCCAUCCAUUUACCAGCAAAUAUCAUAAAGUCAUUCUUCUUUAUGGCUGAGUAAUAUUCCAUUGUGUAUACACGCCACAUUUUCUUUAUCCAUUCAUCUGUUGAAGGGCACCUAGUUUGAUUCCAUUGCUUUGCUAUUGUGAAUUGAGCUGCUCUAAACUUUGAUGUUGUUGUGUCACUGUAGUAUGCUGAUUUGAACACUUUGGGGUAUAUACAGAAGAGUAGGAUAACUGGUCUAAUCGUGGUUCCAUUCCAAGUUUUCUGAGGUGCUUUCCAGAGUAGUUGCACCAAUUUGCAGUCUCACCAGCAAUGCAUGAGUGUACCUUUCAUCCAUAUCCUCUCUAACAUUUAUUGUUACUUGUAUUCUUGAUAAUUGCCAUUCUGACUGGAGUGAGAUGGAAUCUCAGUGUAGUCUUAAUUUGCAUUUCUCUAAUUGCUAGUGAUGUUGAAUAUUUUUUCAUACACACAUAUAAAUUCUUCAUAUAUUACCAUAUAAUUCCAUUUCAUAUUGACCAAUGAACUAAUAAGAUCAUGACCAGCUACUCAAACUUUCAAAACUGAUAGUUCUCUGAAAAGACAAAGGGCUGUCCCAAGCUGAGGCAAUAUUGCUAUGAAGCACUGAUCAGCCUGGCUGGGUCCAAUCCAGGCAGACAGAAGAUGGCAGUUUAUCUUUUGAUAAUUGAAACAAAGGGCUAGGGCUGUAGCUCAGUGGUAGAGCACUUGCCUUGCACAUGGGAAGCCCUGGGUUUGAUUCCCAGCACCACAUAAAAACAAAUAAAAGUAAAGAUAUUGUGUCCAUCUACUUGAAACAAAAAAAAGACAUAAAAUAAUCUAAAGCUUUUCUUCACCACUUUAACAUAAAGAUCUCUGGUUUUGAUAGCCUAACUAGUCUUGCAAUCCUAAUUAUUUUACAUUCUAUCUAUGGGCCUCAGAUUUGUUAUGUAAAAAAUAAACUAUAGUUUGUAAUAUAUCUGAGGUCCCUCUCAGUUCAGAAACUCACUCGUUUGAUAAUUUUAUAAAUUGUUGUGAAAGGCAGCCAAGAGUGACCUAACAACAUGACUCCCUAACACUUCGUAAAUGUUCAUUAGCAAAGGAAAUGGCAAGGGGUCUUCUCUACUGAAUUUCAAAGCAACUCAGAUCUCUGACCUGUCAGAAUGAGGAAUGUUGGACUGAGAAGCAUCCUACAUACAACCUAAGACAGGUUAUGGAGUUUUCUUCAUCCAUGACAGACACAGCAAAAGAUUUUUCUCUUAUACUUAGGUUCAGAAAAGAAAUAUAAACAUAAGCAUCAUAACAAAAUUAUAUUCUGCAAAUGGGAAAAUAAAUGUCUACUUGGAGAGUAUUAGAAUACUCUUCUCUGGCCGUAAAAUUCUAGAAGGCUUGCUUCUACAUGGGGACAAGAGGGUUCAGUAUUUCUAAUCCCUCAGAGGCACAGAGAAACAGCAAAGUGCACCAAGGAAUGGAUUCCUAAAGCAAGAAGCAGAAAGGAAUGAUCAGCUCAAUUAAUUAAAAGCCAAGAACACCGUGAAACAGCUGCACCCGGAUGCCUCCUUUCUCCAAAAUGACAAUCGAUGAUGUAACAUUUAAAUCUUGCUAUAAAACUCAUUUGUAUCUGGUAGAAUAAAAUCAAAGUCUGUUUUCAAGAAAAGGAAAAAAAAUCCACAUAGACCUUAAUCAAAUAACUUACUGUAUUUACAGUUUCAUUCAUACUAUUUUAACACCAAAAGUAGCCAAUUAUGCUCUAUGAAAGAAAUAAGAACAACUAAUUCUGAACUGGAAUUGUUGCCUGUAUCAGAGCCCAGGGGACAAGAUAAAUUUUUGACUCCAUAAUACUAUUGGCUCUUAGUUUGAAGAAUGAUGGGGAGGGCUGAGGCUGGGACUCAGUGGUAGUACACUUGCCUGGCUCGUGUGAAGCACUGGGUUCGAUUCUCAGCACCGCAUAAAAAUAAAGGUCUAUCAACAACUAAAAAAAUAUCUUUAAAAAAAGAAUAAUGGGAGAAAAUGGGUUAUGAGUUAAAAAAGUUAUCUGUUACUUACAAGAUUAGUAUUAUGUGUUGUCACUACAGCCAAUUUAUUUACAAAGCUGAGUGACAAUGAAAACCCUGGAAAAGCAAGAUGAAAGGAAGCAAAACAAAGAUGGAGAGCCCAAAGGGAUGACAGUUACUGUGUUUGGUAUAACCCAAUAGCAAAGAACAAAAGAGACAUAAGAUAAUAAAAGAGGUACCUUUCCCAAAUCCCAAACCCCAAAUUUAUUAAAUAAUAUUUUUUACACUCUUUUUACUCACCCCUCUUACUCUGCUAUGGUAUUAUUAGCAUGUUAUUUGAAUUAUAUGAUGUGUUCAUUAAGUGAUGAUGUUAAUUAAAACAUAUUCACAUGAUUUUCCUGUCAUUUUAUGAUUCAUUUUCCCAGCAAAGACACCCUAUAAUUAAUGAGCUUAUUCAAGUGAUUUACAGUGCUACUUGGCUUUAAGACAAUGUGGCAUGUGGGAAGAAUACAGAGAUAGGAGAACUGACCCUUCACAACCUCCCCUUCUGUAAAGCUGAGUUGUAUGACUGAGAGAAAGAAAGGAAAAAGAAAAGCACAUGGAUCACAAAAGAAUGUUAUUCGAUUGAACCAUGUGAAUUUGCCAAUAUGCAAACAUUAUUGAAAUGGCCAUUUUGUUACUUUAACAUCAUAGUCUCUUCUAAUGUUUUUUUCCAGUUAAAAAUUUCAGUCCAUUUCAUUAAAAUUAAAAUUAUAUCUUAAAAUACACCUCAAUAUAGGAGAUUUAUUAAUUAUAAUUACUCUGUGGAAAUAAUUAAUAUAUUAUACUUGAUUGUCAAUAAUGUGAUUCAUAGUGAUAAACCUAAAGAUCACUUGUAAGUAUGUCAUGUUCUAUUAUUAAAGGUAGCUGCCCCCUAUCCCUUUUAAUGACCAGCUCUCUUCCCCCAAACACAUGCCUAACUUUGGUAGGAGAAGAGAAAUGAAAUAAUUUAUAGAGAAUUAGUUAAUGGCAUCUAUAUUUUACCAAUUACAAAAACAGAUUUUUUCCAAUAUGAGACAUAAAAAUAUGCUCCCAAUUGAAAAUAAUUUUAUAGUCUCUUCUACAUUAUCAUUUUAAGGGUUUUGGAAUCAGUAAGCAAAAUAUCUGCCUGAUCUGUGACUAUAUUUCUAACAUACCAAAAAUGAAAUAAUCAAUGUGUUAACAAUUCAGACAAACCAGGUAUCCCUCCCCCACCCCCACCUGCCCUGUCUUAAACACCUAGGCCUUACAAUUCUUAAAGACAAUUCAUCUGGGCAUGGUGGCACGUGCCUGUAAUGCCAGCAGCUCAGGAGGCUGAGGCAGGAGGAUCACAAGUUCAAAGCCAGCUUCUGAAAUUUAGCAAGGUCCUAAGCAACUUGGCAAGACCAUGUCUCAAAGUAAAAAUAAAUAAAUAAAUAAAAAGUGCUGGGGAUGUGGCACAGUGGUUAAGCCCCUCUGGGUUCAAUUUCUGGUACAAAAAAUAAUUAAAAAAAAACAAUAAAUAAAUAAAUCAACAAAUAAACUUAUGAACAAAUACUUAGACUUUUGACUUUUAGAGUUAUAAUUAUUGUGCUUUUUACUGGUUUUUAAAAUUAUUUGUUAGUGUUUUUUUUCAACUCAGAGCGCCAUAUCUUGUUCAAAAUCUUGGAGCUUGAUGCCCAAGAGGCUGAUUGUAUCACUGCUCUCUUCCAUAAUCUCAGAGAAUCCCACUGUAUAUCCUGAUAAGUGUUUUAUAAAGGAAUACCAUUAGAGGACUUAUAAUAGAUAAGAGGGAAGUCAUGUACCCUCAAAGGAGCUCCUCACUAGGGGCACAAGACAUAUGUAUGCAGAUCUGUUAGAAAACCAGUGAAGUAUUUGAUUUUGUGAUAUAACUAAUAAAUGUGAAGUAUUAAGAAAAUGAAAUGAUUAAUAUAGGAAGGUAUUUCUUGGGAUACAAAGGGUGGCCACUGAAAACCAAAAUAAAAGCCAAGAUGGUUGGCCUGCUCAACCCACCUCACCCAUUGAGCCAGUUGGUGAGUGGGAGACGGAACACAAAUCACAGAGCUCCCUGGUAUGGAGGGAACAGAGGAAAACAAGUUUCUGCCUCUGGAUUUAACAAAGGACAAAGGAAUGAGCUGGAGGAAGCCUGAAGGCCAGACUGGCCCUGGGCACUCAGGAGAGGGUAAAAGGCUUACUCCAGAAAGAGUAUGGAGCACAGAAGAGAGAAUACCAGGCAGAAAGACCCUACGGUCACAGGUUAGAGGUUAGAGUCGUGAAGAAAGGAAGCCUUGGAACUUAAGAAUGUUUCCCAUGGAGUUGGAGAAUUCAAACACGGAGGAGUUGGAGUGAGGGCAAUGAUGGGGUAGAGGAGAUGGCAAGAUACAGCUUCCAGCCUCAGAAUAUGAGAAGUAAGUUCAGAUUGAAGUCUAAGUGAAAUGUCUGUGGAUGGCCAUGUCUGUUGCACACAGUUACAUCUGAAUAUAGCCACUGAAUCAAACAAACUUUCCUUGUCUGAAUGAAAGGUCUAUGGAUCUGUGUCUGUUAAUAAGCAGAAGGUGUGAUCAGGCACUGACAGCAUUCUUUUAGGCAAAGUUCAUUUAUUCAAUAGCCCCAUCUGUCAAAAACAAACAUGUAAACUGAACAUCAAAUUGCUUCUGAGGACCCCUAGUUAUUGUAACUCAGCCCGUGGCUUUCUCCCAUAGUGUCAGUGUUCAUAGUUAUCACCAUGACUCUCUAAGAAAGGGUUAGAGUACAUCCAUUUUUCUGAAUUUUAAAAAAUUACUCCAAAAAAAACCCUGCAAGAAUAGUAAGUGAGAAAUAUUUUUUAUGGUUAAAAUGUUGUGCCCUUAAAGAAAUAAACUGAGAGUAUUUAAGAAUCCCCCUAAAGGUUUUCCAACAAUACUAAAUAAGUUAGGCAUUUCUAUAGUUUAUUUGGUGGUUGAAAAUCAAAAUUCCAGUGUUCUUGGGGAAAAGGGAUAAUAGUCAUGUAACUCGUAGUGUUCAGAAAAAUUAUUGUAUAUGAUGAUAUAAUACUUGGGAGAAUAAGAGUUCUUUUUAAAAAUUAUAGUUUGAAGCCGGGUGCCGUGAUACAUACCUAUAAUCCCAGUGGCUGGGGAGGCUGAGGCACAAGUUCAAAGACAGCCUCAACAGACUCAAGGUGCUAAGCAACUUAUGAGAUCCUGUCUCUAAAUAAAAUACAAAAUAGGGCUGGGGAUGUGGCACAGUGGCCAAGUGUCCCUGAGUUCAAUCCCCAGUACCCCUAAAAAGUUAAAAUUAAAAUUGAAAAAUACAGGUUGGUUAUAAGACAACUAAAAAUAGGUGGCACAUGCCAGUAAUCCCAGUGGCUCCAGAGACUGAGUCAGGAGAUCAUGAGUUCAAAGCCAGCCUCAGCAAAAGCAAGGUGAUAAGCAAUUCAGUGAGAUCCUAUCUCUAAAUAAAAUACAAAAUAGGGCUUGGGAUGUGGCUUCGUGGUCAAGUGCCCCUGAGUUCAAUCCCCUGUACUCAAAAAAGAAAAAAAAAAAACAGGUUUUAAAAAAAAUGUGUGAUAAACUCUGUAUAUACAUACCAAAGUUUCACUAUAUAUUAUUAUUAUUUGUUUAGUUUUGUUCAUAAUAUUUAAAGUUGUACCACAGAUAUCUAUUUCAAAAAUUGAGAAAAUACUUUUUGAAAAUUAAAAAAAAAUAGUAUUUUAAGUAUUAAGUAAAAUUUGAAAACAAAUAAAGACAAGUCAAGCCCAUUAGGCUGUUCUAUCCUCCAUAGCUGGCUAAUGUGAAAUAUAAUGAUAAUUAAGAAUCUUUACUCUGUCAUCUAACUCAAACAACCUUGCAAGGUGUCUGUUGUUGACAGAUGUUAAAUAACUUAUUGAGCUCAUUCCAUUAUACCAUACUGAUUCUCUAGAGCAAAUUUUACUGAUUGAUUUGUUUAUUUGCUUAUUUAGAAAAUAUCCAUCAAAUGCCCACUCUGUAAAAAAUAUUGUGCCAAGUGGUAUAAACAAUACAACAGAGAAGGUAACUAUAUUGCUGCUUUUACACAGUCUAAUCUAGGAAGCAGAUGCACCCAAAUUAUACAGAGCAGAAAAUGGAGGAAGACAAGAAAGAGUCAAAUAUCAAACAUUUAAUAAAAUGAACCCAGUCCAAUUGGUCCUGUUUUAUUUUAUUUUACUUUUUUGCACUGCUGGGGGUUAAACCCAGAGUCUCACAUAUGCUAGGCAGAUGCUAUAACAUUGAGCUAUAUCACAGAUUCCUAGUUGCCUUUUUUAUUUUAAUUUUUAUUGUUGGUUGUUCAAAACAUUACAUAGUUCCUCGUUGCCUUUUAAGAGCAAGCUAUCCAGCAAAACAGAAACUAGCCUGACUCCAAAGAGCACCCUGAAAGUGAGGGGUUGAUUUUCAGGUUAUUCUUUUCAUGGUAAAAGGAAUAGAGUGUAGCUGCUUGGAAAUUGCCUUGUAAAUCAAAGUAGGAAAUUAAUUUUCCAGAGACACAUGUGACUUCUUUGACAAGAAAACAGGCAUUCUCAGAUCAGAGCAGAUAAGUAAGUUUCUUCAGAAACACUAUUAGCAGUUCUUCACCCAAGUUUCUACACAAAUAAUUCCUAGAGCCUUCUGUUAAGUCUACUCCACUUUUUUUUCCUGAACUUUAUUAACCUUUGUUUCAAACUUUAUUCCCAAUCUUCUUCAGCUUAAUUAGCUUCAAAAAAUAAAUUGUGUACAAGCAAAAAUUGAAAAGAGCUUCAGUGUCCAAGGGGCUUGGUCUUAAAAACAGUAGAGAUCUAGAUUUUUAUCAGAUGCAUAAACAAAACAAUUUUAAAAAGCAGUCAUAAUAUAAAAUAGCAGUAACUUCUUCAAGUUUAUUGUCUUCAGAAGUUGAUCAGUUCAGUUUGCCUCAUUCUUAGAAGGCUCAUCACAAUUCUCCAUAAGAUCUGGAACUUUGCCAGGCACCCUGGCACACGCCUAUAAUCCCAGCGGCUGGGGAGGGUGAGGCAGGAGGAUCAAGAGUUCAAAGCCAGCCUCAGCACAAGUGAGGUGCUAAGCAAUUCAGUGAGACCCUGUCCUCUAACUGAAAUGCCAAAUAUGGCUUGGGAUGUGGCCCAAUGGCUGAAUGCUCCUGAAUGCAAUCCCUGGUAUAUCCCCACCCCCCCCCACCCCCCAAAAUUCCCAAGUCCCUAAAAAAACAUUUCCAAAAAAAAAAAAAAUCUGGAACUUCAUCAUCAUCAUCUUCUCCAGUAACAAGUGGUGCUUUUCCAUCCACAGAUUCUUGGGCAGAGCUUCAGCCAAUCUCCUUAAACUAGCCAGACUGUCUGUACCAAGCUGGUUUAAGAUGCUGGUAGCAUUUCUGUCAGUUGCUUUGUCUCAGCAUGUCCUGUAAUAGUGAAAGUUUUUGCUCCCAGAAAUGCCUUGACUUGAAGAUUGCUUAAGUGGAUCACUGUUCCUUGGUUUGUAAACAUAUUCACCUCUUCAACACCAGAGAUAUUGUUUACCCCUAACUUCUUUAAGGAGAACUAAAGUUUUUUAUCAUCUGCUGUAGCUGUUCCAUGACCCAUCACAUUCUUUCUGUGAGAAGUUUCUUUCCCACCAAUAUGCACUUGUGCCUGCAGUUUGGCAAGUUUUUCUUGGUUUAUGAUAGUUUCUUUCAUCUUGUCAGAGCAGAAAUGGACUGCGCCAGGGACUAGGAUUGGUGCUCAAGGGGUCUCAAGCAGACCAGCUUGGUGUAUACCAAGUCCAUUCUCUCUUGCCCAUGUCUCUUUUGAGCCUGAAUUCAGAUAUUCAAGCUGUAGUACAUGUGUCCACUUAAGAUAGUAGAGAAUUUAUUGUUAUGUUUUGUAAAAAUUUGUUUUUCUACUAAAAAAAAAUCAAGACUUCAAAUUUUCUCAUAUUUACAAAGAGUAAUGUAAAUUUUUUAUGAGAACUAUCUGAGAAGUAAAGGUCUAUACUUCAGAUUUUUGAUAGAAAGUUUUAUAAAUGACUUGGCACAGAGUCAAUGUGUAUUGAUUAUGCAGUAUGUUCUAUCUUAAAUAUAUUCCAAUAUUUAAUGAGAGUAUUCAUUCUAUCACCUGAAAAUUCUAAAAUGGGAAUUAACUCCAGGUUGUCAUGAGAAGCACAGUUAUAAAUAUCUAAGAUUCCUACUGUGUCUCAUAAUAGCUGGCUGUCAAGAUUGAAUAGCAUGAAGUCUUACCCUUAUAGCUAUAGUUCAAUUGCUAUAUUUUUUAGUUUUCCCUCAUCCCAAGAACUGCAGGCUUUCAAAGUAUAUAUGUAAUAUACAAAAUAUAUGUGUACUGGUCCUUUAAAUGUCUGUCCCUUGAGGAUGAGUUUAAAUCAAUCAAAAAUCACGUGCCCCAGUCUCUAAUCUGAUUUUCCUUUUGUAGUCUAAAAUGAUUUGUCUUGUCCUUGCUCUUGGAUAAUCCCAUCAGAACGGGGGCGAGCCUUUUCCAAGCCUAGUUUUUAAAUUUAGAUCUUUGGCUAAGAAUACAACAGAAUUCCUAUGAGAAUUACAGCCUCAUCUGGAAAGUUUCUGCAGUAUAACCAUCCAUAAUGUAUCCAUUUAACAAAACAUUUACCAGAAGGAAAUUGGAGAUAAAUCCAGAAAGGAACAAGAGGAAGAAAUCCAGAAACUAAGUGUGUUUUACAGUAAAUUGACAAGCUAUAAUUGUGAAGCUGGAAUUGCAAAUAAUGUUUUCCAUUAAUCCUCAGAUUUUUUACAUCUAAAUCAUGAAAAAGGGAAAGUAAAAAUAUUUUCUGGCACAAAAGAUGUCAAAUAGAUGUGAAAUAGGAGGGAUAUCUUUUGAAAGCAAAAUAAAGAUUACAAUAAAAUGUUCCUUCAUACUUUCAAAUCAUCUAAGGCUAGAAAACCCAUUAAUUACACAUUCUUGAAACAUAACAUUUUCAGAAUAUCUUUUCAUUUCCUAGAUUGUUUUCUCAUUAACUUCAUUGAAACUUAAUAAGCCAGUCAUUUGUUUCUCGUUUCUCACGAGAAUGCAAUUUCCUCAAGAUUGCACACAUUUUAUUUGAAUCUGAUAGUGUGCUUAUAUAAAGCAUAUAUGUAUCCAAAAGAGGCAACAUUUUAAAUUUUCAUUAAGCUAGAAUUUAUUCUUCAUAUUAUCUUUUGCAUUUAUAUUGUGCAUAUAUUCAAAAUGUUAUAUGUGUAAAUGUAUCAUAUGCAUUUAUUUUUCAAAGCAUCAUUGAAUUUAUACUCUACAAUUGAUAUUGUACAGUACCAGCCUUUAUUUCCUCAGCCUCUUCUAUUCAUACACACAAACCAGCCACAAAAUUCCUCUAGUUAAAAGAUUGAGAUUCAUGCCAGUUCCAUGACAUCUAUCUAAAAUUCCAGCUACUCAGGAGGCUAAAGCAAGAGGAUUCAUGCCAGUUCCAUGACAUAUAUCUAAAAUUCCAGCUACUCAGGAGGCUAAAGCAAGAGGAUCUCAAGUUCAAGAUCAACCUGAGCAACUUAGUGAGACGUAGUGUCAAAAUAAAAUAAUUUUAAAAACUGGGAUGUACCUCAAUGGUAGGUCAUCCCGGGUUCAAUCCACAGUAAUGAAAAAAAUAUUUUUUUUCUUAAUUUUAUUUGGAAAAGCCCUACAAAUACAGUGACAUGAUCCUUUGAUUCCUGUCUGAACUAUUCAAGACAUAAACCAGAUAGCCAUUUUCAUAGAAACAAAUAUAAGUUCUUUUUGCUUUUUUGUCCUACAGAUGAAAGAAGUAGAUUCUCUAGAGCUAAGGUUCUGUCAUCUCUUCCACUCAAACCCUUUUUCCAGGCUCUUCUGUCAUUGCUGUCCCUGGAAACAGGCAUAACACAAUGCUGCUUAUCAAGAAAUAGUUAAAUUACUACUAAAAAGUGAAUUUAUUGGGCUGGGGUUGGUAUUGGCUUAGUGGUAGAGCGUUUGCCUAGCAUGUGCAGUGGGUUUGAUCCUCAGCAUCGCGUGUAAAUAAAUGAAUAAAAUAAAGGUCCAUCAACAACUAAAAAAAAAAGCAUUAAAAAACAGUGAAUUUAUUUAACAAACCUACAAUAAGAAUUGCAACCUUGCAACAUCCAAAGAAACAAAUUGUACCAAGAUCCAGAGAGUUGACAACUGUGUCAUAAAUUCCCACCUAGCCACCUGCUGUUAUCUUGGAUGUUUCCUGUGAUCAUUCUGAUCCUAACAUUUGCAUCUAUCAAAAACUUAGGGUUUUUAUCUAAGCAAAAAAAAAAAAAAGAAAGAAAAAUAUAGUUCUUCUGAUAUUUUCAACUUCUGUUCUUAUGGCUUAAUAAAAGUCUUAUUUUUUUAAACUCUAGGUAGUGGUAGUGUAGUAACUUUAAUAGUAUUAGCUUUUCUUGAUUGUUUAUAUGUGCCAGGCCCCAUCCUAAGCACUUGACAUAUAUUAACUCAUUUGAUCUUUUGUAAACUUUCUAAACUAACUAGAGUCUUCUGGUAUUUUGGAGCCAUUCCCAGACAGUCCCUGGUUAUAUUCUUUUAAACAGGCCUCUUGAGGUUCACCAACCCUCUAAUUUUAAAUCAAAACAUGUCUGGGGACUGGAAUUACAGAGAGCACCCUAGUGUUCAUUUGACUGGGGAUCUAAUUCACCAACGUGCUUCUUGCCUUCUGGGUGGUCGGCUCUAUUUAUGUGUUUUCGGGGCUCUGACUCUAGUUUGUAUGUAGUAAGUGCAAAAGCCAAAAGCUGGUGCUUUCAAGCUGUUCUCAGAGCUAAGUUAUGAAGGGGUCUGUUGUCCCCGAGUCAGCCUGGAUUGUGGUUCUCAACAUCAUGAAGUUUGGUUUAUCAGAACCAGAACGGAGUUGAGCCCAGAAUUAAUUCAGCUUUUCUCUGCUUAUUUGUCUGUGCUGUGGAAAAUUGUGCUAACUGGUGGCACUAGAAAAUGUUUGGUUCUCUUGGAUUUUCUAUUCCUCUAUGAGCAUCCUACUUGGUCCCUCUUCAGGAUGACCCUUCCCAGGUCUCCUCAUGCUUGGGUCUCUUAGGAACUCAGGGUUUCCUGGCCUCUGGGCUCAGUGUGUGGAUAUCAUGAGGGUUUUCUCUGCUCUUUAAUUUGGUUCUCAGGCUAAAGCCAGCUUCUGCCACCCUCUGAUAGAAAGUAACAGGCCCUGUCCCCUUUUCUACCUCACUUCAAGCAGAUUUACAUAGAUAUCCCCAUUAGCAGCAAACACUGUCAUCUAUUUCUGUUCUACAUUUCCAAAACUUGAACUCCAUCCUGUUCCUGCAGUUGGAUUUUUCUGGUAAAUCUCAGUGUUUUACGUGGGAUCAUCCUGCUAUAAAACCUCACCUCUGGUGUUACUGGGACCACUCUGACCUGCUUCCUGGACUCCACUCUCCUGUUUCCAAAUGGAUGAUCAGUAGUUCCCUUGUCUCUAUUGCCAGAAAACUCCACUUGUCCUCUUAUCCUCGUUUCUCCAAGGUUUCUAUUUUCAGUUACUAGCAUCACAGUUUGAUUCUUAUUUGUUUCUUAUACCCUUGUCUAAUCAGGAGCAAAACUGUAGAUUCUUCUUAUUAGAAGUUUUCUUCCUUCUAAUCUGUUCUCUCACAAGUUUUUUGGCAUUGCCCCAGCAGACAUUCAGACUUGGUUCUUGACAUUCAGAAAAGAAAGCUCCCAUAUGGCCACCACAACCCAAUUAAGCCAGAGAUGAAACUACAAGAAGGAGAGAUUCAGCAUUUCUGUAGCUUUCAAUUCAGGACUAAAGGUUAUCUCUAUCAGUCUUUUUGGAAUAAGUGAAAUUACACCUGAUAAGAAUCAGAAUGAGAAUAGUAGCUUUGCAACCACAAUAAAGCACAGAAUUCCAGGAGAAGAUGGAGCCACAAUGCUGAAGGAGGAAAUAUUGAACAUUUUAUCAUGGCAAGUGAAUUGUCAGUUCAGAUCAUAUGAAAUGACCAUGUUCUUAUUAUUUUGGUGAAUUAUUGGGAGAAAUAAUAAGAAGGAAUAAAAAUUAGAGCAUAAAAAUAUGAAUUCCUAAACCACUCUCUGAGCUAUGUGGCUUCAGACAAGUGGCUUAGUGUCUAGGGUAGGCCUUUCAUUUAAAAAGGCAUCUUGUAUAAUAUUUUCAGUUGUGCCUAUGGCUUGCUUCCCCUGCUGGACAGCCUCCCUUUACCUAGGAACCUCCAUGUUCAUCUGUUCCUGAGUUUCUGCCCAGAGUCUACUGUAAUAUCUUGGACAGUCAGCACACAGCAGACACUUUUUGUUGAAAAAAUAAUCAUACUCAAAGUGGACCAAAUUUCUUUGAAGAUCUUUCAAUAAAGGAAUAGUUCAAAGUUAGAUGAUGGCACACGCCUGUAAUCCCAGGGGCUUGGGAGGUUGAGACAGGAGAAUCACGAGUUCAAGGCCAGCCUAAGCAAUGGUGAGGUGCUAAGCAACUCAGUGAGACCCUGUCUCUAAAUUAAAAAAAUAAAAAUAAAAAUAGGGCUGGGAUAUGACUCAGUGGUCAAGUGCCUGUGGGUUCACUCCCCGGUACUAAAAAAAGAAUAGUUCACAAUUAAUAACUAUGAUUAAUUGGCUAAGUUUUGCACCACUCAUGCCCUUAAUGCUAAUACUAUUGUCUAUUUUUAGCAUUGAUAUUAUAUCAGGUCUAAGGCUGAGGCAAAUACCAUGCUUCCAAAUCCUAGCAAAUUUCUCAUCUCUGAAACUCUGAGAUAUUUAAAUUUCAAGCAAUUCUCUGAAAACUCUCAGUGGGUUUUUAAUUCAUUGUUGUUCUAGGUUUGGGGCUGCAGGUAGAGGAAUCAGAGCCUUCACAAGUGUAUUAUUAAGUUUUAACAUACAAGAACUUCAUUAGUAAAGUUAAAUUUUAAUUUCACAAUUAAGUAUACAUUUGGGGAAAUUUAAAGACACUAAGUUAGUGUACCCGUUACAGCUAUACUUUAGUCUGAUUUUUUUUCAAAAUGAACCAAACUAUAUUAUAUAUAACUAUAAUGCUUUAAUAAAAAUUAGUUUAAUAUAUAUGUGUAUAUAUUUCAUGCAAGUUUGCUAUUUUUCUGAUGUCAGAAACAGGAUAAGAGCAGAAAGAAGAAUGUACCAUUAGCUCUGUUUUCUAUUCGCUGUUACCAUCUAACCACAAAUAAUAUGAAAUGAAACUUCAUUCUGAUUUUUAUAUAAUUUAAAUCAAGAAAUUUGAACUGUGUAACAUACCCCAAAUUCUACUCAGUUACUGUCUUGUGCCACUGGAAACAGCUAAUGCCCACUUCAUUAACAUUUUCAUUAAAUUAUUAAACAAUGCCUAGGGUUUUGCUAAUGCAAAACAAAUUUAUGCUAUAUGGAUUUCCAAGGGUUUACAUUUUGUUUCCUAGUAUUUUCCUUACUGUUUAGACAUAAUGUAGUUUAAAACAUGCAACAUUUUAGAACUUUCUUUAUCACAUCAUUGUCUAGUCAAUUUUAAAAACUACUGAAAAAGUAUUAUGUAUCAGAUGACUUUCCUCUAAAUUAUGAAGACUAUACAGUUUGCUGGAGAUGUAAUGCUGUUUGAAAUUUAAAAAACUAAAGGCAGGGGCUGGGGAUGUGGCUCAAGCAGUAGUGUGUUCGCCUGGCAUUCGCGGGGCACUGGGUUCGAUCCUCAGCACCAUAUAAAAAUUAAAAAAAAUAAAGAUGUUGUGUCCACCGAAAACUAAAAAAUAAAUAUUAAAAAACUCUCUCUCUCUCUCUCUCUCUCUCUCUCUCAAAAAAAAAAAAAAAAAAACUAAAGGCAGUGAAACAUUUAAGUGAUUGGUUAUUUGUAAUAUUAAUCAUGUUUUUAAAAAGCAUAAAAAGAGUAAGUAAAAUAACAAAGGCACUGUAUGCCAAAAAUAAGUGUCAGUCCACUGAAUAUUGAAAAAGUCAACCAAUAGGCAAUGGCCAUGUGCAUACUCCCAAUCCAUCUCAACUAGGCUACUCUGUAAACAAUUCUAGAACAACAGCCAGACUGAACUACUAUACCACAAACCUGUUUUUCACUAAUGUAUCUUCCUUCCUUCCUUGCUUCCUUCCUUGCUUCCUUCCUUUCUUCCUUCCUUUCUUACCAGGGAUUGAACUCAGGGGCAUUUAACCACUGAGCCACAUCCCAUGCCCUUUUUUUUGUAUUUUACUUAGAGACAGGGUUUCACUGAGUUGCUUAGCACCUCACUUUUGCUGAGGCUAGCUUUGAACUCGUGAUCCUACUAUCUCAGCCUCCUGAACCACUGGGAUUACAGAUGGGCACCAUCGCACUGGACAGCAGUGUAUCUUUAUGAUCAACACAGUGGCAAAGACAUACUAGAGAUUGGAUAAAUACUAGUGGAAUUAAUAAAUUGGAUUAAGUCUGGAUAAAUUGGAUAAAGUUACUUCCAUAGAUGCUAUUUCACUGUGAAUUUUAAAACUGGUAUCUUUUUGUUGCUCAGUGUUCCCUUGGAUCAUAUGAUUAGAAACAAUGAUACAAUGAUAAGCAAAUAUUUUGCAUUGAUUGUCUUGUUUUAUUUUGCAUUUGCAGGCAAAUGGACACAGUUUUGUACAUAUGGAACAUGAAAAAGCUGUAUUACUACUGAAGAGUUUCCAGAACACAGUAGACCUAGUUAUUCAACGUGAGCUUACUGUCUAAAUAUUUUCUAUAAAUAGUGAAGAUAUGUCUAGCCAGACCUAAUGUUCAAAAAGAAAUUUAUACAUAGAAACAAAUUUUGCCAAUUGCUGGACCAAUGGCAAACAUUAGUGCCAAAUGUAUAAUACUAUAUGUUAGCACUGAUCAUCCUUAAAAAUGUUAACUCUACAAAUAUGAUGUUCAUGUGGUUAUGUAUUAGUUCUAACUGUCAGCCUCUGGCUGUGCAUUGGUGCAGUUUUGUUUUUCUUUUUGUUUUUUUAAUCAAAUAAGUUUCUUCUCAAAGUGGAUUUCAUAUAAUUUCGGAGCACGGAAGCACACACAGCUCUUUAUGAAUUCUGCUCUCCAUCAGAAACACUGCCUCAAAGUUGUAUAUGCCUUUAUAUAGAAAAUACGAACAUAAAGAAUUAUAAUUCCCAUAAAAUAUUUCUAGCACAAGGUAUAUGUUGGCAUAUAUACAAAAAGAAUAUAGAGAAAAACAAUAUUUUCAUAAACUAAACAUCUCGGAUUGAGAAAGAAAUAUAUCUUAAAAUAAGACUUUACUAUAUUGAAUCUUUUUCAAUAAAAAUUCAUGAUAAUGCCUUAUGAAAGUAACUGUACAUAUGGUAUAAAGUGUUUAUAUUUGGUUCCAUAUUCAUUUACUAAAUUCUCAUAACACAGAGUGAAAUAUUUCAUAAAUUCUCCAUUUAUCACUGGGACCUGAAUAAAAAUAGGAAAAACUAAUUUGUUCAAUGCCUUUAGCUAACUACAAUACGUGCAGAGUUAAAAAACAGACUAAAGGUCAUUAUAGAUAAGUCUUUUUCACCACAAAUUUAAGCAGUGAAUGAUGGGUGGCAGGAAAUGUAUUGAUUUCUUUCUUUCCAGUUUAUGUUGAUUAUAAACUGUAGCCCCUGUGAUUUCUUUACUUGUAAAUGUGGAAUUUAUUUGUGUGCUGCUUUAUUUUAAUUUGCUACUUUUAAAUCAUUUAAAAUGAGUUUGGGGAAUUGAUAAAAUUUAUCAUUAAGAAAGACUUGUUAGAAAGUUAAUGUUGGGUGAUUUUAAAACUUUGGCAUUAAAUAUGAAACUUCAAAUAUAAUUUCUCAGAGCUGUGGUCUACCUGUAUUAAUUUUAAUGCUGUUUGUGGACAGAAAUAGAUAAAAUACUUUUUUCCCCAAAGAAUGUAUCAAGGUAUAUUAAAUUAUGAAUAUGCUCUCUCUAGAGAGUAAUAUAAGAAUAGUUAAUGUAGAAUUAUUUACUUUUACAUUGGAACUGUUUUCCUCUAUAAGAUCAAAAGUCAUCUUAUAAUCCUUUAUAAUAUUUAUUUUUGUUAAUUAUUAAUUUGAUUAAAAUAUGAAUUUUAAAAUUUAGAAUAAUUUCCAAGAAUUGGUUAUAUGUGUUCUCUCUCAUAUUUCUACAUAGCUCUUUAUAGAUAUAUAAUGAAUUUACUUCACAUGCUAUGGAUUCAAGUAUAUUCUAUUGGGAUUUUACAAUAGAAUUACAUAUUGAUGUCAUGAGAGCUCUGAGAAUAAUAUUUGUAAGUUAACUGUUUUAUGGGGACACUGAAAAUAUUGUAUUUUUGUAGGGUCUAUUAAAAUGAGUGUCACUUAUUAGAAGUGCAGUGGUAUUUUUUGGCGUAGAACUUGUCACUUGAUGGCAAAUGACAGUUAAUUUUAUAGAUGGUGCACUAAUUUUGAUGUUGCUUCAUGUCAGGUGACAUAAUUCCAAAAUUUUAUAGGGUUUGACAAUUAGCUGAUUCAAUGAUUGACUUAUUUGGUAUAUUUCCCAGAAGUAACUUUAAAUGCAUUUUAAAAUAUUGAGUUUUCAAUGAGAAAAUUCUUUCAGAGCCUAAUUCUAUUUGUUAAAACUCAUGCCACACCACUGUAUCCAAAUACCGUAGGAUGAUCAUCAUUCGUCAAGAUCAAGAUCCCCCUCUGGCCACCCCAGGAUCACUUACAGGAAAACAAACUCAGGAGUGUAGUUUUGUGUCAAGGAAACAUCUCAAAUUGUUCCAACAGUGUUGUUUAAUCUUUAGUGGGAGAGGCAGGAGGAGAGCCCAGUGUGGGACUUCCCCAAGUCUUUUUCUUACAUUAGGUUUCAACAUCAAUCCCAAGGCAUCAGGAUAUGCUUCUGAGACACUCAGCUGAGAGGAUCAAGAUCCUAGUAAACAUCUGUGCCACUCCUGAUGUGACAACAUUGUCUUGGGCCAAUGCUUUAAUACUUCCUGUUCCACAGUUCAGAAAUGAGGAAAAGAGAAAAGGGACCCUCUGACCAACUGGAAAAGAAAUCUGAUACCAGAACACCUCAUUGUCAGUUGUACUACCAUGCUGCAUGCAGAGAACAGGCAGGUAAUAAUUAAAAGGGGAUAUUUUUUUUUUAGUUGAUUGAAUAGAAUAAUCACAUGAGGGAGAAAACAUCCAAUUCAUCAAUUGAUAGGGAACCAAAACCAAUAAGUCAUUGAUUUUAAAGUAUCAACUUCUUUUUAAUAACUGGCUUACUGCCUGAAACUUAGAAUCUAAUUUGGGUUAACAACAAUAAAAGUCAAGGGUGUGCCUUUAAAAAAAGAAAAAUCAACAACAAAAAGGAGUGGAAUUCAUAAUGGCCCUUCUUGAUUUUUUUUACUGAUGUUUUUCUGCUGAGGAAGCUGUUUCUAUGUGACAGAUCAGUAAGAUGUAAUGGAGGGAACUGAAAAAGAUUAGAGGUGGAAAGAACAAAUGGUGAAAAUUAUUAGCAGAAUUGUCACAGAGUUUGCAAGACAAAAGGCAUUGGUAGAUGAUUUUUAAAAUAGUACGUUAUCAUAAAAGCUUUCUUAGGAUAAUUCCAGCCCUCUAGAUAACACAAGUUGCCUAAACACACAAUAAUUUCAAAAUGGUUAGUAUAUUUUGACAAAGAAUACCCAAAGUCAGUAUGACACACAAGUAUUUGCAUUGUGCUAAUUUGUUGCUAUUUGAAGCCCAUGGAAAAUAUAUAUCCCAGUGACUUGGAAAUGUAAUAUAUAGAGAUCAAACUAUCUGUAUUGUUUCUGCACCUUACCUUGGAUUACCACCAUCAAGAUGGAAAACAGCUUUGAAGAGGGGGUGACAAGCUAAUAUUAAUCUGUUUUUAAUCUUAAAGGUGAUUGUACACAUAUUACUACUAUAAUUGUUUAUUUUAAGAUAGGACUAAAAUACCUUUUACUGUGUGAGGUAAAGUAAGAAAAGAUUCAGAGGCAAGAAAAUGUUGAAUUUAGGUUUAUGUAUUCAAAUAUUACAUGAAAAAUAUCUGAAUUUGCCAUAAUGAUUGGAUAUAAAAAAACAGAAAAACUUUACUUUUAAUCAUAAACUUUAUUUAAUAUCUCUACCACGAUUUAAAUCUUUGAAAAAUGCAGUGUACUUACCAAUUUGUCUUUCCAGUGACUUUUAAUGAUAUCCUUGAUCAAUUUCUGCUCCUGGUUGGCACACAAAUCAAGAAUACCUAUUCUGAUAAAUAUACUCUUAUCAAGAGACAAGGAUACAAUAAUACCAGAUAAAAAUCCACAUUGGUAUAAAAAGUUGUCAGUUCAGUCAGACAACACAUUUGACCAAAUAGCAGGUUAAUUGAAAUGCUAAAUGAGCAAAAAGUAAAAAGUUAUGCAGAUAAUGAAAUCCAAUAAGUUAAAAGGGUGGGUCUUUAUCUAGCAUAGGAAAAGCAGGGCUGAGUUCCCAGUAGAGUGUCUCUCACAGAAAUGCUGACUUUCUGAGCUUAAUAAAAUGUUCAAAAACUUGAGUUAGUGAUGUGCCCUCUCUUAUGAUUGUAGCUACCUGAUCAAC
rnacentral:lncRNA from 1 species